UAUCAAUCCUCUCAUUUCUUGAUAACAAUAUACAUAAUUUAGCAAAACAAGAACACUAAUAACACUAUCAAUCUUCUCAUUUCUUGAUAACAAUAUACAAAAUUUAGAAAAACAAGAACACUAAUAACACUAUCAAUCUUCACAUUUCUUGAUAACAAUAUACAUAAUUUAGCAAAACAAGAACAAUAAUAACACUCUCAGUCCUCUUUUUUCUUGAUAAUAAUAUACAAAAUUUAACAAAAGAAGAACACUAAUAACACUAUCAAUCUUCUGAUUUCUUGAUAACACUAUACAAAAUUUAGCAAAACAAGAACACUAAUAACACUGUCAAUCUUCUCAUUUCUUGAUAACAAUAUACAAAAUUUAGCAAAACAAGAACACUAUUAAUCUUCUCAUUUUUUGAUAACAAUUUACAAAAUUUAGCAAAACAAGAACACUAAUAACACUAUCCAUCCUCUCAUUUCUUGAUAACAAUAUACAAAAUUCAGCAAAACAAGAACCCUAAUAACACUAUCAAUCUUCUCAUUUCUUGAUAACAAAAUUUAGCACAAACAAGAACACUAAUAAACACUAUCAAUCUUUCUUGAUAACAAUAUACAAAAUUCAGCAAAACAAGAACACUAAUAACACUAUCAAUCUUCUCAUUUCUUGAUAACAAUAUACAAAAUUCAGCAAAACAAGAACACUAAUAACACUAUCAAUCCUGUCAUUUCUUGAUAACAAUAUACAAAAUUUAGCAAACCAAGAACAUUAAUAACAUUAUCAAUCUUCUCAUUUCUUGAUAACAAUAUACAAAAUUUAGCAAAAUAAGAACACUAAUAACACUAUCAAUCUUCUUAUUUCUUGAUAACAAUAUACAAAAUUUAGCAAAGCAAGAACACUAAUAACACUAUCAAUCUUCUCAUUUCUUGAUAACAAAAUAGAAAAUUUAGCAAAACAAGAACACUAAUAACAAUAUCAAUCCUCUCAUUUCUUGAUAACAAUAUACAUAAUUUAGCUAAACAAGAACACUAUCAAUCUUCUCAUUUCUUGAUAACAAUAUACAAAAUUUAGCAAAACAAGAACACUAAUAACACUAUCAAUCCUCUCAUUUCUUAAUAACAAUAUACAAAAUUCAGCAAAACAAGAACCCUAAUAACACUAUCAAUCUUCUCAUUUCUUGAUAACAAUAUACAAAAUUCAGCAAAACAAGAACACUAAUAACACUAUCAAUCCUCUCAUUUCUUGAUAACAAUAUAAAAAGUUUAGCAAACAAGAACACAAUAACACUAUCAAUCUUCUCAUUUCUUAAUACAAAUAUAGAAAAUUUAGCAAAACAAGAACACUAAUAACACUAAUCAAUCUCUCUCUUUCUUAGAUAACAAUAUACACAAAUUUUAGCAAAACAAGAACACUAAUAACAUUAUCAAUCUUCUCAUUUCUGAUAACAAUUAGACAAAUUUAGCAAAACAAGAACACUAUAUAACACUAUCAAUCUUUCUCAUUUCUUGAUAACAAUAUACAAAAUUAUAAAAACAGAAACACUAAUAACACUAUCAAUCUUCUCAUUUCUUGAUAACAAUAUAACAAAAUUUAGCAAAACAAGAACACUAAUAACACUAUCAAUCUUCUCAUUUCUUGAUAAAAAUAGCAAAAUUAGCAAAACAAGACACUAUAACAACUAUCAAUCUUCUCAUUUCUUAAUAACAAUAUACAAAUUUAGCAAAAAGAACACUAAUAACACUAUCAAUCUUUCCAUUUCUUGAUAACAAUAUACAAAAUUGCAAAACAAGAACACUAAUAACACUCAAUUCUUCUCAUUUCUUGAUAACAAUAUACAAAAUUUAGCAAAACAAGAACACUAUCAAUCUUCUCAUUUCUUGAUAACAAUAUACAAAAUUUAGCAAACAAGAAACACUAAUAACACUAUCAUCUCUCAUUUCUUGAUAACAAUAUACAAAAUUCAGCAAAACAAGAACCUAAUAACAUAUCAAUCUUCUCAUUUCUUGAUAACAAUAUACAAAAUUCAGCAAAACAAGAACAUAAUAACUAUCAAUCCUCUCAUUCUUGACAACAAUAUACAAAAUUAAGGCAAAACAAGAACAUUAAUAACAUUAUCAAUCUUCUCAUUUCUUGAUAACAAUAUACAAAAUUUAGCGAAACAAGAACACUAAUAACACUAUCAAUCUUCUCUUUUUUCUUAAUAACAAUAUACAAAAUUUAGCAAAACAAGAACACUAAUAACACUAUCAAUCUUCUCAUUUCUUGAUAACAAUAUACAAAAUUUAGCAAAAACAAGAACACUAAUAAACACAUCAAUCUUCUCAUUUCUUGAUAACAAUAUACAAAAUUUAGCAAAGCAAAGAACACUAAUAACACUAUCAAUCUUCUCAUUCUUGAAUAACAAAAUAGAAAAUUUAGGCAAAACAAGAACACUAAUAACAUCAAUCCUUCAUUUCUUGAUAACAAUAUACAAAUUUAGCAAAACAAACACUAAUAACAUAUCAACCUCAUUUCUUGAUAACAAUAUACAAAAUUUGCAAAACAAGAACACUAUAUUAACACUAUCAAUUUCUCAUUUCUUAAUAACAAUAUACAAAAUUUAGCAAAAAAAACAAAACAUAAUAACACUAUCAAUCUCUCAUUUCUUGAUAACAUAUACAAAAUUUGGCAAAACAAGAACACUAAUAACACUAUCAAUGCUUCUUCAUUUCUUGAUAACAAAUAUACAAAUUUAAAAACAAGAACACUAUAACAACUAUCAAUCUUCUCAUUUCUUGAUAACAAUAUACAAAAUUUAGCAAAACAAGAAACUAAUAACACUAUCAAUCUUCUCAUUUCUUGAUAACAAUAUCAAAAUUUAGCAAAACAAGAACACUAUAACACUAUCAAUCUUCUCAUUUCUUAAUAACAAUAUACAAAAUUUAGCAAAACAAGAACACUAAUAACACUAUCAAUCUCUCAUUUCUUGAUAACAAUAUACAAAAUUUAGCAAAACAAGAACACUAAUAACACUUCAAUCUUCUCAUUUCUUGAUAACAAUAUACAAAAUUUAGCAAACAAGAACACUAAAACACUAUCAAUCUUCUCAUUUCUUGAUAACAAUAUAAAUUUAGCAAAACAAGAACACUAAUAACAACAUCUCAUCCUCUAUUUCUGAUAACAAUAUACAAAAUUCAGCAAACAAGAACCCUAAUAACACUAUCAAUCUUCUCAUUUCUUGAUAACAAUAUACAAAAUUCAGAAACAAGAACACUAAUAACACUAUCAAUCUUCUCAUUUCUUGAUAACAAUAUAAAAUUUAGCAAAAACAAGAACAUUAAUAACAUUAUCAUCUUCUCAUUUCUUGAUACAAUAUACAAAAUUUAGCAAAAAAGAACACUAAUAACACUAUCAAUCUUCUCAUUUCUUGAUAACAAUAUACAAAAUUUAGCAAACAAGAAACUAAAACACUAAUAAUCUCUCAUUUCUUGAUAACAAUAUACAAAAAUUAUAGAAAACAAGAACACUAUCAAUCUUCCUCAUUUUUUGAUAACAAUAUCAAAAUUUAGCAAAACAGAACACUAAAACACUAUCUCUUCUCAUUUCUUGAUAACAAUAUACAAUUCGCAAAACAAGAACACUAAUAACACUAUCAAUCUUCUCAUUUCUUGAUAACAAUAUACAAAAUUUAGCAAAACAAGAACACUAAUAACACUAUCAAUCCUCUCAUUUCUUGACAACAAUAUACAAAAUUUAGCAAAACAAGAACAUUAAUAA
rnacentral:lncRNA from 1 species